UACGAAGGGGGCUAGCGUUGCUCGGAAUCACUGGGCGUAAAGCGCACGUAGGCGGACUCUUAAGUCGGUGGUGAAAUCCUGGAGCUCAACUCCAGAACUGCCUUCGAUACUGAGAGUCUCGAGUCCGGGAGAGGUGAGUGGAACUGCGAGUGUAGAGGUGAAAUUCGUAGAUAUCUGGAGGAACACCGGUGGCGAAGGCGGCGACCUGGUCCUAUACUGACACUCAUACACGAAAGCGUGGGGAUCAAACAGG
rnacentral:rRNA from 1 species